AAAAAGGCGGAGAAGAAGAGGAGUACGCAGGUGUUACCGCUCCACAAAAGAGAGGGCUGUCCGUGGGCUGAGAGGCGGCCUGGAGAAGGAACUGCGGAAGGUAGCUUUGGAGCCGGAUGGCUGAAUGGCAGACAGCAGGUAAGUCAUCCCGGAGUCGUUCACGUUACAGAAUAAGAGAAGAUAUAUGGAAGUGUUUCUUCCAUAUUAAAUAAAGGUGGUACCGCGGACAGAUAUAUUCGCCCUUUAC
rnacentral:ncRNA from 1 species